rnacentral:rRNA from 1 species
GACGUAGGGCGCGAGCGUUGUCCGGAAUUAUUGGGCGUAAAGAGCUCGUAGGCGGCUUGUCGCGUCGACUGUGAAAACCCGCGGCUCAACCGUGUGGCUUGCAGUUGAUACGGGCAGGCUAGAGUUCGGUAGGGGAGACUGGAAUUCCUGGUGUAGCGGUGAAAUGCGCAGAUAUCAGGAGGAACACCGGUGGCGAAGGCGGGUCUCUGGGCCGAUACUGACGCUGAGGAGCGAAAGCGUGGGGAGCGAACAGG